rnacentral:rRNA from 1 species
UUUAUGGAGAGUUUGAUCCUGGCUCAGGAUGAACGCUGGCGGCGUGCCUAAUACAUGCAAGUCGAGCGAACGGACGAGAAGCUUGCUUCUCUGAUGUUAGCGGCGGACGGGUGAGUAACACGUGGAUAACCUACCUAUAAGACUGGGAUAACUUCGGGAAACCGGAGCUAAUACCGGAUAAUAUUUUGAACCGCAUGGUUCAAAAGUGAAAGACGGUCUUGCUGUCACUUAUAGAUGGAUCCGCGCUGCAUUAGCUAGUUGGUAAGGUAACGGCUUACCAAGGCAACGAUGCAUAGCCGACCUGAGAGGGUGAUCGGCCACACUGGAACUGAGACACGGUCCAGACUCCUACGGGAGGCAGCAGUAGGGAAUCUUCCGCAAUGGGCGAAAGCCUGACGGAGCAACGCCGCGUGAGUGAUGAAGGUCUUCGGAUCGUAAAACUCUGUUAUUAGGGAAGAACAUAUGUGUAAGUAACUGUGCACAUCUUGACGGUACCUAAUCAGAAAGCCACGGCUAACUACGUGCCAGCAGCCGCGGUAAUACGUAGGUGGCAAGCGUUAUCCGGAAUUAUUGGGCGUAAAGCGCGCGUAGGCGGUUUUUUAAGUCUGAUGUGAAAGCCCACGGCUCAACCGUGGAGGGUCAUUGGAAACUGGAAAACUUGAGUGCAGAAGAGGAAAGUGGAAUUCCAUGUGUAGCGGUGAAAUGCGCAGAGAUAUGGAGGAACACCAGUGGCGAAGGCGACUUUCUGGUCUGUAACUGACGCUGAUGUGCGAAAGCGUGGGGAUCAAACAGGAUUAGAUACCCUGGUAGUCCACGCCGUAAACGAUGAGUGCUAAGUGUUAGGGGGUUUCCGCCCCUUAGUGCUGCAG